GAUGAACGCUGGCGGCGUGCCUAAUACAUGCAAGUCGAGCGAACAGACGAGGAGCUUGCUCCUCUGACGUUAGCGGCGGACGGGUGAGUAACACGUGGAUAACCUACCUAUAAGACUGGGAUAACUUCGGGAAACCGGAGCUAAUACCGGAUAAUAUAUUGAACCGCAUGGUUCAAUAGUGAAAGACGGUUUUGCUGUCACUUAUAGUUGGAUCCGCGCCGCAUUAGCUAGUUGGUAAGGUAACGGCUUACCAAGGCGACGAUGCGUAGCCGACCUGAGAGGGUGAUCGGCCACACUGGAACUGAGACACGGUCCAGACUCCUACGGGAGGCAGCAGUAGGGAAUCUUCCGCAAUGGGCGAAAGCCUGACGGAGCAAAGCCGCGUGAGUGAUGAAGGUCUUCGGAUCGUAAAACUCUGUUAUUAGGGAAGAACAAAUGUGUAAGUAACUAUGCACGUCUUGACGGUACCUAAUCAGAAAGCCACGGCUAACUACGUG
rnacentral:rRNA from 1 species